UACGAAGGGCUCGAGCGUUAAUCGGAAUCAUUGGGCUUAAAGCGUACGUAGGCGGAUUCGCAGGCAUCUUGUGAAAUCCCUCCGCUCAACGGAGGAACUGCAGGGUGAACCGCGAGUCUUGAGACAGGUAGGGGCUGUCGGAACGCUAGGUGGAGUGGUGAAAUGCGUUGAUAUCUAGCGGAACGCCGAAGGAGAAAUCAGGCAGCUGGGCCUGUUCUGACGCUGAUGUACGAAAGCGUGGGGAGCGAACGGGAUUAGAUACCCCAGUA
rnacentral:rRNA from 1 species